rnacentral:rRNA from 1 species
UACGUAGGGUGCGAGCGUUAAUCGGAAUUACUGGGCGUAAAGCGUGCGCAGGCGGUUUUGUAAGUCAGAUGUGAAAUCCUCGGGCUUAACCUGGGAACUGCGUUUGAAACUACAAGGCUAGAGUGUGGCAGAGGGGGGUGGAAUUCCACGUGUAGCAGUGAAAUGCGUAGAGAUGUGGAGGAACACCGAUGGCGAAGGCAGCCCCCUGGGUUAACACUGACGCUCAGGCACGAAAGCGUGGGGAGCAAACAGG